rnacentral:rRNA from 1 species
AUUGAACGCUGGCGGCAGGCCUAACACAUGCAAGUCGAGCGGAUGAAGGGAGCUUGCUCCUGGAUUCAGCGGCGGACGGGUGAGUAAUGCCUAGGAAUCUGCCUGGUCGUGGGGGAUAACGUCCGGAAACGGGCGCUAAUACCGCAUACAUCCUGAUGGAGAAAGUGGGGGAUCUUCGGACCUCACGCUAUCAGAUGAGCCUAGGUCGGAUUAGCUAGUUGGUGGGGUAAAGGCCUACCAAGGCGACGAUCCGUAACUGGUCUGAGAGGAUGAUCAGUCACACUGGAACUGAGAAACGGUCCAGACUCCUACGGGAGGCAGCAGUGGGGAAUAUUGGACGAUGGGCGAAAGCCUGAUCCAGCCAUGCCGCGUGUGUGAAGAAGGUCUUCGGAUUGUAAAGCACUUUAAGUUGGGAGGAAGGGCAGUAAGUUAAUACCUUGCUGUUUUGACGUUACCAACAGAAUAAGCACCGGCUAACUUCGUG